GCUUAGGUCCAGUGGUUAGGAUCUUUCGCUUUCACCGAAAUGGCCCGGGUUCGAACCCCGUAAGUCG
rnacentral:tRNA from 1 species